rnacentral:rRNA from 1 species
CUGGCACUGAAACACGGGCCAGACUCCUACGGGAGGCAGCAGUGGGGAAUCUUGCACAAUGGGGGAAACCCUGAUGCAGCGACGCCGCGUGAGCGAUGAAGCCCUUCGGGGUGUAAAGCUCUUUCGGCAGGGACGAUAAUGACGGUACCUGCAGAAGCAGCUGCGGCUAACUACGUGCCAGCAGCCGCGGUAAUACGUAGGCAGCAAGCGUUGUUCGGAGUUACUGGGCGUAAAGGGUGCGUAGGCGGUCCUAUAAGUAUGGUGUGAAAUCUCCCGGCUUAACUGGGAGGGUGCGCUAUAGACCGUGGGACUAGAGUGUGGGAGAGGAAAGUGGAAUUCCUGGUGUAGCGGUGAAAUGCGUAGAUAUCAGGAGGAACACCGGCGGUGUAAACGGCUUUCUGGACCAUAACUGACGCUGAGGCACGAAAGCGUGGGUAGCAAACAGGAUUAGAUACCCUGGUAGUCCACGCCCUAAACGAUGCAUAUUUGGUGUGGGUCAUUCAGUUGAUCCGUGCCGGAGCUAACGCGUUAAAUAUGCCGCCUGGGGAGUACAGUCGCAAGGCUGAAACUCAAAGGAAUUGACGGGGGCCCGCACAAGCGGUGGAGCAUGUGGUUUAAUUCGACGCAACGCGAAGAACCUUACCUGGGCUCGAAAUGCUAUGGACCAGCUGGUGAAAGCCGGCCUUCCCGCAAGGGACCGUAGUAUAGGUGCUGCAUGGCUGUCGUCAGCUCGUGUCGUGAGAUGUUGGGUUAAGUCCCGCAACGAGCGCAACCCUUGUCCUGUGUUGCCAUACCGAAAGGUGGAACUCGCAGGAGACCGCCAGGGAUAACCUGGAGGAAGGUGGGGAUGACGUCAAGUCCUCAUGGCCUUUAUGUCCAGGGCUACACACGUGCUACAAUGGACGGUACAAAGGGCUGCCAACCCGCGAGGGGGAGCCAAUCCCAAAAAACCGUUCUCAGUUCGGAUUGCAGGCUGCAACUCGCCUGCAUGAAGCUGGAAUCGCUAGUAAUGGUGGAUCAGAACGCCACCGUGAAUACGUUCCCGGGCCUUGUACACACCGCCCGUCACAUCACGAAAGUGGGUUGUACUAGAAGUUCGCACGCUAACCCGCAAGGGAGGCAGCGGCCCAAGGUAUGACUCAUGAUUGGGGUGAAGUCGUAACAAGGUAGCCGUAGGAGAACCUGCGGCUG